rnacentral:misc_RNA from 1 species
AACGGUCUAUACCUGCGGUACCUGCGGAAGGAUCAUUAACGAGUUAGGGUCCCCUGGGCCCGACCUCCCAACCCAUUGUUUACCAAACCAUUUGUUGCUUCGGCGAGCCCGUCUUCACGGACCGCCGGGGGACCCUUACAGGUCUCCUGGCCCGCGCUCGUCGGUAGCCCCAACCUUGAAACUCUUUUAAUUAAACGUGUUUUGACUAAGUACCAAUUUUAUAAUUAAAAAGCAAAAAAC